GCGCGGGUGGUGGAACGGUAUACACGUACGCUUGAGGUGCGUAUUCCGUAAGGAUUGGGAGUUCAAAUCUCCCCCCGCGCA
rnacentral:tRNA from 1 species